rnacentral:rRNA from 1 species
AGCAGCCGCGGUAAUUCCAGCUCCAAUAGCGUAUAUUAAAGUUGUUGCAGUUAAAAAGCUCGUAGUUGAACUUCGGGAUUUGCCCAUUGGUCAGGCUUAACUGUCUGCACUGGUGUGACGAGUUCCUACCUUCUGAGGAAUCUCCAUGUCAUUCAGUUGGUGUGGGGGGAAAUCAGGACUGUUACUUUGAAAAAAUUAGAGUGUUUAAAGCAGGCGUCCGUCUGAAUACAUUAGCAUGGAAUAGUAAAAUAGGACGGUUUGGUUCUAUUUUGUUGGUUUCUAGGAUCACCGUAAUGAUUAAUAGGGAUAGUUGGGGGCAUUAGUAUUCAAUUGUCAGAGGUGAAAUUCUUGGAUUUAUUGAAGACUAACUACUGCGAAAGCAUUUGCCAAGGAUGUUUUCAUU